GGCACGGAGGAGAGCCACAAUGGAUAAACUAACGGGCCACGGGAGGACCGCGCUUUGAUUUAUAAUCCGUCGAGAGAUACCAUCCCGUAUGCCAUCCACGAGACACAAGUGAAAUAACGGUUAAGGGAUCUCACAACCUCGGAAAUAAACCACCAAUUCGACAUGGAUCGGUUUGAGCAUCGAUAGCGCCUUUUAGAAACUGGCUGCCUCCACCUGCUUCGAAGGCGGAUUUUGGAUAAGAAGCGUUUAUCGUUUUCUGUACUCUCUUCAUAGGUAAAUCAUCUGAUUUCAUUUCCUCGUUAAAACCUAUUCUAUAGGCUAGCCAUAUGCUUCUCAUCCUAUACCGGAACCCUUACUGCUGCCUUCCACGCGGAUGCGCCGCCCUCCAUUGGAUGGCAAAAGAACCAGGAAAAAAAUUCCUCGCAUUGAAAAGUGGAACCCAUACGAUACUCUGGCAGUAUGUACGAGAAGGAGUCGGUUGCUAUCUUUGGUUAUCUAGCUGUAUGAGUGUUACUCGGCCGUCAUAAAGCUAGCUAACCGAAAGUAGGAAUGUCCUCCAAACCUGCGACUCGGAUAGGAAUAAAUGGUGUCUGGGAGUAAAGACACAAAAUAACAUAAUUGAUAUGCAAUUACAGGCCAAUACCUCAGUGCCUUUCCGGUUGAUCCAGUGCCCUUGUCACUGCAGUGGCUGCCUGAGAUACACACAGAAACUCUGCAGUGUGAACAGCACAAGCUGUCUACUAUAUGUGACUGCCAGCCAUUCACACCAGGUCUGGAUUGAGCGAGGGGAAAGUGGCACAGUCGUCACAAAAAAAAACAGAAAGCAGGAGGGGAAGAAAAAGGCCAACCCCCUUGUCCCUCUUCUCUUAAAUCUCCAUCACCGGAAGCCUUUGGUGCCAUCUGUGCCCCCGGAGAAAAGGACGGACGACAUGCCUCCACCCUGUGCCAACGGGGACAAAGGAGCUGCCAGUUAGAGAGGCCCCCCCUCGCAGGCAGCCAGAGGACUCUGUGUGACUGACUGGGGCUGAGCUACGGAAGCCAUCUUGAUGGAGAGUCUUGCUGCUGCUCCUAAAAUGGCUGUGUUGGCAUGAGGUCCUGCUGGUGUUGACAACCUCCAGAGGAAGCCUCUUCCAUCAGCCCUGGGCCCUGAAUCCUGAACCCUGAGCCCUGAGCCCUGAGCCCUGGGCACUGAACCCUGAGCCCUGGGCCCUGAACCCUGAGCCCUGGGCCCUGAGCCCUGGGCCCUGGGCCCUGGGCCCCGAGCCCUGGCAGUCGGUUUAGACGCACCAGCGGGAAUAGCAUGUCAGAUCCCAGGAUGUCAUGCAAGGCCUUCCUCAUUGGCAUCCUCUCCAGUCAAACACUGAGAAAUUAGGGCACUGAAGAAUCCCCCCUAAAGUUAAUGCUUGGAGAGAUUUACUGUAAGGACAAUGUUUGGAGUUAUUUGAAGACAUUGUUUGCAGAAGUUGCACACGGAUCAUCUGCAGAUAUAUUGCACUUGGGUAAUGAAUGUUCUCUUUUCCCUGGCUGAGAGUGUAUAGUUUCAAUAUAACUUUUAACAUGACAGCAGAAUGUAAGACAAUGUGUGUAUGAUGUGAAAUCAAAAGGGAUGAGAUCGACAUGUGUUCUUAAUCUAAGUGUGUGUGUGUGGUGCGUGUGCGUGUGCGUGUGUGUGUGUGUAGUUUGGCCCCUAUUGUACUCUUUAGAGUACUCUGGAGUGUACUGGGCUUCAGAGAAGCACUACAGUGCCCUAAUGUGUGGGCUGCUUACAAGAGAAGCUCUCUGGAUGUCUAUCCUCUGUCAUGUGCAAUUAGUUACUUUAUGAAUAGAACUGACUACUCUAUGCAAAUAAAUGUGAAUGACUCACCCUCUGGCUGUAUUGCAAAUGUUGUUUAAUGUUUGACUGUCACAGUGAAAAGAAAGACAUUGUUUGGUGAAGAUUCCAUCCAUUUACUAUAUCCAUCAAAUGCUGCGUUUUUCCAAUUACAAAUAUUAUCUGCAUGUGUCCAUAGUGAUCAGGGAAUGUUCUACAUGAAAUGUGUUGGAUACAGUAUUGAAGCAGUCCGAUUAAUAGCCGUCUCAUUGCCUGAUUGUUAUUAUUAUCCUUAUUCAGAGAGAUAGACAGUUGUGAACAUACCUGCAAUAAAGAAAGUGACACAUACUUGUACACUAAAGUCAUACAAAACAUGUUUUUGUAAUUGAGUUCUGACUUGUCAUAACUUCUGUGCUGUUUGAAUUGAAUGUGUAUACAGAAUAAAUAAUUCAACAGAUGUCUAAAA